rnacentral:sRNA from 1 species
AGAGGAAGUAAAAGUCGUAACAAGGUUUCCGUAGGUGAACCUGCGGAAGGAUCAUUAAAUAAUCAAUAAUCUUGGCUUGUCCAUUAUUAUCUAUUUACUGUGAACUGUAUUAUUAUUUGACAUUUGAGGGAUGUUCCAAUGUUAUAAGGAUAGACAUUGGAAAUGUUAACCGAGUCAUAAUCAGGUUUAGGCCUGGUAUCCUAUUAUUAUUUACCAAAUGAAUUCAGAAUUAAUAUUGUAACAUAGACCUAAAAAAUCUAUAAAACAACUUUUAACAACGGAUCUCUUGGUUCUCGCAUCGAUGAAGAACGUAGCAAAGUGCGAUAACUAGUGUGAAUUGCAUAUUCAGUGAAUCAUCGAGUCUUUGAACGCAACUUGCGCUCAUUGGUAUUCCAAUGAGCACGCCUGUUUCAGUAUCAAAACAAACCCUCUAUCCAACUUUUGUUGUAUAGGAUUAUUGGGGGCCUCUCGAUCUGUAUAGAUCUUGAAAUCCCUGAAAUUUACUAAGGCCUGAACUUGUUUAAAUGCCUGAACUUUUUUUUAAUAUAAAGGAAAGCUCUUGUAAUUGACUUUGAUGGGGCCUCCCAAAUAAAUCUCUUUUAAAUUUGAUCUGAAAUCAGGCGGG